rnacentral:rRNA from 1 species
UACGGAGGGUGCAAGCGUUAUCCGGAUUCACUGGGUUUAAAGGGUGCGUAGGCGGGUAGGUAAGUCAGUGGUGAAAUCUCCGAGCUUAACUCGGAAACUGCCUUUGAUACUAUCUAUCUUGAAUAUUGUGGAGGUAAGCGGAAUAUGUCAUGUAGCGGUGAAAUGCUUAGAUAUGACAUAGAACACCUAUUGCGAAGGCAGCUUACUACGCAUAUAUUGACGCUGAGGCACGAAAGCGUGGGGAUCAAACAGG